CACGUAGGGGGCGAGCGUUGUCCGGAUUUAUUGGGCGUAAAGAGCUCGUAGGCGGCUCGGUAAGUCGGGUGUGAAAACUCGGGGCUCAACCCCGAGACGCCACUCGAUACUGCCAUGGCUUGAGUCCGGUAGGGGAGUGUGGAAUUCCUGGUGUAGCGGUGAAAUGCGCAGAUAUCAGGAGGAACACCGAUGGCGAAGGCAGCACUCUGGGCCGGUACUGACGCUGAGGAGCGAAAGCGUGGGGAGCAAACAGG
rnacentral:rRNA from 1 species